rnacentral:misc_RNA from 1 species
GAUGAAGAACGCAGCGAAAUGCGAUAAGUAAUGUGAAUUGCAGAAUUCAGUGAAUCAUCGAGUCUUUGAACGCACAUUGCGCCCCCUGGUAUUCCGGGGGGCAUGCCUGUCCGAGCGUCAUUGCCGCCCUCAAGCACGGCUUGUGUGUUGGGCCCCCGCCCCCCGGCUUCGGGGGGCGGGCCCGAAAGGCAGCGGCGGCACCGCGUCCGGUCCUCGAGCGUAUGGGGCUUCGUCACCCGCUCUGUAGGCCCGGCCGGAGCCCGCCGGCGACCCCAAUCAAUCUUUCCAGGUUGACCUCGGAUCAGGUAGGGAUACCCGCUGAACUUAAGCAUAUCAAUAAGCGGAGGA